GUCCCUCUUAGAACAGCACAUACACUAAAAUUGGAAUGAGACAGAGAUUAGUGUGGCCCCCGCGCAAAGAUAACACGCAAAUUCAUGAAGCGUUCCAUAAAAAA
rnacentral:snRNA from 1 species